AGGUUCAUUUAUCCAUAUACAAUGUGAAUUUCACUAUCAUAAACUCCUCCUACAUCACUUUAAAGCACGUGGUGCUUGUUGACAGCUUAUCAAGGAAAACAAGUGCCGGCAUUUAUGCAAGAGGACAAGUUUCCUCCUCUGUUUGGAGAAAAUAGAACUGAAUACUGAAACUGCAUUGAGCCAAUAGUAAGGUUAUUCUCAAAGCAGCAGCCAAGGAUUACUCCACAUGGUCAACAUUGAUGCAACUCAAUUUUACACACACAGCUGCCAGUCACGAGAGGAAAUAUCUGUUUUAGGAUAUGCCAAGUAUUAGAACAUCUAGGACCAUGGAGAGUGCUUCCACGAGCCCGGAGGGGCAUCCCUCCACUUCCUGUGCGCGGAGGAAUGUAUUUUACUAUUAGUAUUAAGUAUUUACAGGAAAUAAAAUCGGAUGUGUGGAUGUAUGUGGAUGUUUAUUCAUCUUCUUAAGCUGAAGACAAGACAGGUGAGUGUGCUAGUGAUUUAUGAGUGAAAUUUCCCUCAGGGAAAUGUUUUAUUUUUCCUGAGUUCUGCAUACACUUCAUCCCUAUUAUUCUUUGUCUGCAAUGAAGAAAUGGUUUACUUAAGAAUGGACGCACCAGUUUUUAUGGAUUUUUAAAAAUAAUAUCCAGAAAUAGGAAUGUA